rnacentral:rRNA from 1 species
CCUACGGGAGGCAGCAGUAGGGAAUAUUGCUCAAUGGGGGAAACCCUGAAGCAGCAACGCCGCGUGGAGGAUGAAGGUUUUCGGAUUGUAAACUCCUUUUGUUAGAGAAGAUAAUGACGGUAUCUAACGAAUAAGCACCGGCUAACUCCGUGCCAGCAGCCGCGGUAAUACGGAGGGUGCAAGCGUUACUCGGAAUCACUGGGCGUAAAGAGCGCGUAGGCGGGAUAGCAAGUCAGAUGUGAAAUCCUAUGGCUUAACCAUAGAACUGCAUUUGAAACUGUUAUUCUAGAGUAUGGGAGAGGUAGGUGGAAUUCUUGGUGUAGGGGUAAAAUGCGUAGAGAUCAAGAGGAAUACUCAUUGCGAAGGCGACCUGCUAGAACAUAACUGACGUUGAUGCGCGAAAGCGUGGGGAGCAAACAGGAUUAGAUACCCCGGUAGUC